rnacentral:rRNA from 1 species
ACGCUCGACACCUACGGGAGGCAGCAGUGGGGAAUAUUGCACAAUGGGGGAAACCCUGAUGCAGCGACGCCGCGUGAAGGAAGAAGUAUUUCGGUAUGUAAACUUCUAUCAGCAGGGAAGAAACUGACGGUACCUGACUAAGAAGCACCGGCUAAAUACGUGUCAGCAGCCGCGGUAAUCUGAGCGGGCUGGCAAGGC